rnacentral:rRNA from 1 species
UGCAAGUCGAACGGAACUCUUCGGAGUUUAGUGGCGGACGGGUGAGUAACGCGUGAGAAUCUGCCUUCAGGUUGGGGACAACAGUUGGAAACGACUGCUAAUACCCAAUGUGCCGAGAGGUGAAAGCUUUAGUGCCUGAAGAUGAGCUCGCGUCUGAUUAGCUAGUUGGUGAGGUAAUGGCUUACCAAGGCGACGAUCAGUAGCUGGUCUGAGAGGAUGAUCAGCCACACUGGGACUGAGACACGGCCCAGACUCCUACGGGAGGCAGCAGUGGGGAAUUUUCCGCAAUGGGCGCAAGCCUGACGGAGCAAGACCGCGUGAGGGAGGAAGGCUCUUGGGUUGUAAACCUCUUUUAUCAGGGAAGAAGAUCUGACGGUACCUGAUGAAUCAGCAUCGGCUAAUUCCGUGCCAGCAGCCGCGGUAAUACGGAGGAUGCAAGCGUUAUCCGGAUUUAUUGGGCGUAAAGCGUCCGCAGGUGGUUUUUCAAGUCUGCUGUUAAAGCGCAGAGCUUAACUCUGUAACGGCGGUGGAAACUGAGAGACUAGAGUAUGGUAGGGGUUGCGGGAAUUCCCAGUGUAGCGGUGAAAUGCGUAGAUAUUGGGAAGAACACCAGCGGCGAAAGCGCGCAACUGGGCCAUUACUGACACUCAUGGACGAAAGCUAGGGGAGCGAAAGGGAUUAGAUACCCCUGUAGUCCUAGCUGUAAACGAUGGGUACUAGGUGUUGACCGUAUCGACCCGGUCAGUGCCGUAGCUAACGCGUUAAGUACCCCGCCUGGGGAGUAUGCACGCAAGUGUGAAACUCAAAGGAAUUGACGGGGGCCCGCACAAGCGGUGGAGUAUGUGGUUUAAUUCGAUGCAACGCGAAGAACCUUACCAGGGCUUGACAUGUCCCGAAUCUCGGUGAAAGUCGAGAGUGCCUUCGGGAGCGCGAACACAGGUGGUGC